UCGGUCCGUCUCACUCACACUCGCUCGCUAUAUUUCGAACACCGAUUUUUUGCAUACAUUUCAGUCAGUGCUGGGCGUGUCGCUCGGCAACACCGUGUCGGGUUCGGUGGUCCUGAUCGUGACGACCUUAGUGGCACUGAUCUCUUCUUCUGGAAGAAAUCGUCGGAUCCGAGCAGGAAGGUGAGACCGGUAGUACUCAAAGGAUGUUACAGCCUUUCAGCUCUCUUCUUCUAACAAGUGACAACCAACAAUGGCAGCGUCUUCUUCUAGCACCUUCUACACCAACCUCAAGUUUUGCACCAAAUCCAACAACAGCAACUUGAACUGAAGGGAACUCAUGUUGACAAGCAAUGAAAUAGCAACCGUUGGUGCUAUCUUCAAUUUUAGGUGGUGGGCACGAAUGCGGCGCGAUGAAACUAAAGUAUAUAUUCUAAGUAUAUGAGUCUGGGCCAGAUUGUUGCUAUGCUGUGUCGGAUAGGGCAUCCUCUUUGCUCGAAGAGGAAGCCAGGUCGUCCUCCGAAGGCUGCUCCUGCUGGUGGUCCGGCUGCUGUUGCUGUGGCGGCAGCUGAAGCUUCAAGUGGUGACUCCUGUUCAUUGCUGUCUCUGAUCCUGCCGCUGCUGUGACUGCAUUGCGGCCUGCACUCAUGGUUCUAUCUGCCAUUCAUCAUAACCAGAAGGAACAUGUAACGAGCCACUAGUUUGGACAGUUCAAUGCCAGAGAGAACGGCUCUGUCCCGGAUGCAUGCAAAUCCAACAGUUGCAUCCGGUCUCUUCACAUAGUCAUCCAGAAACAUUUUCUUGUUAGAAGAACUAGAAGAAGGAGUUCCGGGUGGAAUAUCUUCGAGGAUAGGGAGUCUGAUCUUAACGGGAGGUUAAGGUCGAUGACCUUACGGAGCAGGACCAGAGAUUUAUGACAGUUUGAUAGGGAAGCAGAGAAGAAUGGCGUGACGUGAUCUCUGAGGAAUGAAUUUGCUUUGCCCUUCCAUUGGUUAAACUCCUCAAUGAGCUUCUGGGGAGUUUGUGACGAUUCUUCAAUUUCUUUGAUUUCUAAUAAUGAUUCUUCUAGUUUUUUUUUCCCUUUUUUUCUCCUUUUUGCUUCUUCUUGUUCUUCAGGAUUCACCACGUAGUUCUCCAGCUUCAGGAGUUCAU